UAGGCGAUGAGUUUACAAAAUAAACUGACGAAGAUUCGAUUAAAUCCUUUUUGCGAAUAUUGGCCGCAAUUUCUAUUUUUAUUUUACUUAUGCAGUACGAUUUUGUCGCGUUAUUUUUUCGUAGUUUACUACUCAGUUGCAAUGUCUCAAAAUAUAAUCGUUUGCUGUUACCCACAACUCGAUUGGCGAAAAGUGCGGUCAGUUAUCACGCGAUAUAACAUUAAAAUAUAUCGCCAAAACAGUUUGUUCGCUAAACUAUAGAAACCGGGUCGAAACUUACUGCAACACUCGGUAUUAAAUAAUAUUAUAAUAUUACAAUUGUGCGAAAACAUUAAAGAAUAUUUUGGUUUUAAAAUUAAAUGUGUGUGUUUUGUUUUUCUGUACAUAGAAACAUUCUUGUCGAAUUGUCUGACCAGUAAAUGCGUCGCAAAGGAAAUAUGUUUUUAAUUCUUCCCUACACUCGUGUACACUACUUGUGGAAAAUCCGAAUGAAAAUAAAAACCGUUUCGGGAAAACUCGGGAACGUUCUAUUAGGUAACUUGUCGAUAAAAUCGAUUUCGUGUAUAUCAUUGUAAUUUGUCAAUAAAUAAUUUUGGACCUGAGCUUUGCAUCGAAUACUUUGGCGUUCUUUUAAAUUUUAACAACAGUUUUCAGCUAGCUUUGAAUUAUCUGUCGCUAUAUUUUUAAAUGUCCUUGGUUUUUUUUUUCUAUUUGUCUACAUGUACAACUUUUUCCAUGAACAUUCGACAACUUGACACAAGCUGUAUUAUUAUUACGAAGUUGUUCUCAGUCGUCCGAGAAAAAUGUCAGGACUUGUUGGGACUUAGCUUCCCGAAUGUUUGUAUAGAUCCCCGAUUGUUUGUAUAGCUUCACGUAUACAUUCUGUAAGAGGAGGUCACAGCAUAACAUAUUUUGCCGUCUUUGUCUUUUUUAACGGGCUACAUAGUACUUACGGGUGUGUGUGUUUUCGGAGUUCCGACGGUACUCUGAGGCACUCUUCUAUAAGCUUAAGACAAAAAUUAUUAUUUUACCGAGUGAAUGACGGCAAAAUUUACUGCGGUUCGCGGAGGGAUUUAUCGAUAUUUAAUUCCCUGACAAAAUAUU